GAUGAACGCUGGCGGCGUGCCUAAUACAUGCAAGUCGAGCGAACGGACGAGAAGCUUGCUUCUCUGAUGUUAGCGGCGGACGGGUGAGUAACACGUGGAUAACCUACCUAUAAGACUGGGAUAACUUCGGGAAACCGGAGCUAAUACCGGAUGAUAUUUUGAACCGCAUGGUUCAAAAGUGAAAGACGGUCUUGCUGUCACUUAUAGAUGGAUCCGCGCUGCAUUAGCUAGUUGGUAAGGUAACGGCUUACCAACGCAACGAUGCAUAGCCGACCUGAGAGGGUGAUCGGCCACACUGGAACUGAGACACGGUCCAGACUCCUACGGGAGGCAGCAGUAGGGAAUCUUCCGCAAUGGGCGAAAGCCUGACGGAGCAACGCCGCGUGAGUGAUGAAGGUCUUCGGAUCGUAAAACUCUGUUAUUAGGGAAGAACAUAUGUGUAAGUAACUGUGCACAUCUUGACGGUACCUAAUCAGAAAGCCACGGCUAACUACGUG
rnacentral:rRNA from 1 species